AACGAACGCUGAUGGCGUGCCUCAUACAUGCAAGUCGAGCGCGUAGCAAUACGAGCGGCGAACGGGUGAGUAACGCGUGAACAAUCUGCCUUAAAGUGGGGGAUAACCAUUCCAACGGAUGGCUAAUACCGCAUAGGGUUUGGAGGUGGCAUCACUUCCUCACGAAAGCAUUUAUGCGCUUUAAGAUGAGUUCGCGUCCC
rnacentral:rRNA from 1 species